rnacentral:rRNA from 1 species
AUUGAACGCUGGCGGCAGGCCUAACACAUGCAAGUCGAACGCGUGGCGGACGGGUGAGUAAUGUCUGGGAAACUGCCUGAUGGAGGGGGAUAACUACUGGAAACGGUAUCUAAUACCGCAUACCCUCAGAUGUGCCCAGAUGGGAUUAGCUAGUUGGUGGGGUAACGGCUCACCAAGGCGACGAUCCCUAGCUGGUCUGAGAGGAUGACCAGCCACACUGGAACGGAGACACGGGCCAGACUCCUAGGGGGGGCAGCAGGGGGGAAUAUUGCACAAUGGGCGAAAGCCGGAUGCAGCCAGGCCGGGUGUAUGAAGAAGGCCUUCGGGUUGUAAAGUACUUUCAGCGGGGAGGCGUUACCCGCAGAAGAAGCACCGGCUAACUCCGUGCCAGCAGCCGCGGUAAAC